UCCAAAAAUAAUGUAUCAAAUUCACACAGAAACAUUCAUAAACAAUUACUAAUGAAAACAGGCAGGCAUGUACCCUUUAGCACACCCUGAAACAACUGUGGAUGCUGAGGAGCAGGAAGAGGAUGGACUGCAGGAUGUGGCAAGGCUCACUUGCUUUCAGAGCAGCAGGAAUCCAACAGCAACCUUUUUGCAGCCCAGGUACUGGCAGCAGUGCUGAUGAGCAAUUCAAAGUUCCAGGCAUUUCCUCUUGCCUCUUGGAUCAAUCAAAAAUUUGGGAAGAAACAUUCUGAAACCAAGUUAGGAAAGAAGCAAAAAGACUGGAGGAGAGAACAGGUUGUGGAAGAAACUUUGUCCUUCCAGACUGGAUUUUCAGUCCAUACUGCAAAGACACAAGGUGUUUGCAAUGAUACCUAACACACUCCCUACUCCGUCUAGAUGAUUAGGACCACAGAAACAUCCUUGGUGUGUUCAGAAGUUAUCACCCCAGAACGUAUGAGUCUUCUCUAUUGGUUUGAUGGUUAACCA